AACACACACAGAUGAACAUACACAAAUAAACAGAAAAAAAACACAGAUAAACACACACACAUGAACACACACACUGUUAGACGAAGUCACCCUCUUGAUCAAUCAACAGAAAUCAAUCAACAACUAUUUUGAUAAGAAAUAGAGAACAACUGUGAUACUGUCAACAAGUAAGAGUCUAUUAACUACUUUAUCAAAGCUCCUGUUCAGCAUGUAGGAACAUGAUGUUUCCAGAUGUUUGUCUCCUGAUGUGUGUUGUUGUUUAACCAGGGUUAUUUGGUGAUGAUUGAUUUCAUGGUGCACAGUGUGAUCACUGACUACUUCAUGUGGAAGUGCAGGAAGAGCUGUUUAAUAUGAAGUCUCAGGAUUCACACUGGCUGAAUGUUUGAGAAGAUGUUUAGACCAGAAUCUGGACUAAUCCUACAUUGACUGAUGGCACCAGUGUGUCUGGAAGAAAACUCAUCCCUUAGAUGAAUGGAUUGAUCACUAAAACAGUCAUCAGCAGCAGUUUUAGUCUUUAGCUCCUCAGACGUGAGGAACUGCUGAUAACAGACAACUCAUUCAUCCAGAGAAUAAUCAUUUGUCAUGGCCUUAGAUAUGAUAUAUUAAUAAAUAAUAAUAAUGGUAAGAUGAGACACUGCUGUAGAAGUUCUGUAAAAACAUCCUGAUGAAGUCUGAGCUCAAACCUGUUAUUUUACACACAUACACACAUAUACAUAUAUACAUAUAUAUAUGUGUGUGUGUGUGUGUGUGUGUGUGUACAUAUAUAAAACAUAUGUGUAAAACAAGUGUGAGACACCUUAUUGUCCAGUCAGCUCCUCUGAAUAUGAAGCAGCUCACUGUCAAUGUUCAAUAUGUCAAUAUACUGCAGCAUACACACACACAUUCAUAUGUGAAUUUACAGGGAGGUCUAACUCCUCUAAUAUCUCUGGUUGAAAAUCAGAGAAGAAGAACAUUGAACUUCAUUACUUUGAUCUACAUACUGUUUUACACACAGUAACAAUGUCAGUGUAGUAUGAGUUUAUUAUCAGUCACUCAUCAGAUACUCAAAGUAAUCCCAUUAUUUGACUAAUGACUCAGUUAUUAAAGUUAAUGGCUCACUGUCAGAGGAGCCUUUAAACUUCUUCACACCCUCCACACUCAUCAGAUCUUUUCUAUUUAACUGACAGAAACAGAGGAAACAGUCUUCUCUCUGGUCUGGAGGGGUCAGAGUUGUGGUGUUGUGCAUUGUGUGCGGUUGUGUGCAGUGUGUGUGGUGGUGUGCAGUGUGUGUGGUUGUGUGCAAUGUGUGCGGUUGUAUGUAGUGUGUGCGGUUGUGUGCAGUGUGUGCGGUUGUGUGUAGUGUGUGCGGUUGUGUGCAGUGUGUGCGGUUGUGUGCAGUGUGUGUGGUGGUGUGCAGUGUGUGUGGUUGUGUGCACUGUGUGCGGUUGUAUGUAGUGUGUGCGGUUGUGUGCAGUGUGUGCGGUUGUGUGUAGUGUGUGUGGUGGUGUGCAGUGUGUGUGGUUGUGUGUAGUGUGUGUGGUGGUGUGCAGUGUGUGUGGUUGUGUGCACUGUGUGCGGUUGUAUGUAGUGUGUGCGGUUGUGUGCAGUGUGUGCGGUUGUGUGUAGUGUGUGCGGUUGUGUGUAGUGUGUGCGGUUGUGUGCAGUGUGUGUGGUGGUGUGCAGUGUGUGGGGUUGUGUGCACUGUGUGCGGUUGUAUGUAGUGUGUGCGGUUGUGUGCAGUGUGUGUGGUUGUAUGUAGUGUGUGCGUUGGUGUGCAGUGUGUGCGGUUGUGUGCAGUGUGUGAGGGGGACCAGGAGAGAGGGACCAGGAGAGACGGACCAGGAGAGAGGUAUACUUUUAUGUUUCACAGGUGUCUCAGUAUUCAGGUGUUACUGUCUGACUUUAGUUUAUUUGACUCUUCAUCUUCAUCGUCUGUAAUUAUUCUACUGAAAAUCACAGCUGUGUGUUCUCUGUCUGUGUUAAUGAAUAAUCAGGUUCAUAGUUUAACAUGUGCUGCUGGAACCAGAAGGUUAUGACGG